UACAGAGGUCCCAAGCGUUGUUCGGAUUCACUGGGCGUAAAGGGUGCGUAGGUGGUGGGGUAAGUCGGAUGUGAAAGCUCGGAGCUCAACUCCGAAAUGGCAUUGGAAACUACCCUGCUAGAGGAUUGGAGGGGGGACUGGAAUACUUGGUGUAGCAGUGAAAUGCGUAGAUAUCAAGUGGAACACCAGUGGCGAAGGCGAGUCCCUGGACAAUGCCUGACGCUCAUACACGACAGCAUGGGGAGCGAACGGG
rnacentral:rRNA from 1 species